rnacentral:rRNA from 1 species
UUCAAGUCUUUAAGAGCAAACGGUGGAUGCCUUGGCAUCUGGAGCCGAAGAAGGACGUAGCAAUCUGCGAUAAGCCUCGGGGAACUGAUAAGCAAGUUUUGAUCCGAGGGUGUCCGAAUGGGGAAACCCCGCUGGGCGGCGUGCCGACCUAGUGACUCCCGCCUGAAUAUAUAGGGCGGGUAGAGGGAACGUGGGGAAGUGAAACAUCUCAGUACCCACAGGAAGAGAAAGCAACCGCGAUUCCGUUAGUAGUGGCGAGCGAAACCGGAUCAGGCUAAACCGAGUGUGUGUGAUAUCCGGCAGGAGUUGCAUAUUCGGGGUUGUGGGACUCACCAGUCAGUUCUGCCGAGCUGGCGACGUGACAGAAGCGUAUAGACGAACGGUCUUGAAAGGCCGGUCAUAGAGGGUGCCAACCCCGUAGUCGAAAUGCGUGUUCUGGCGUGGAGAGUAUCCCAAGUAGCACGGGGCCCGUGAAAUCCCGUGUGAAUCUGUCAGGACCACCUGAUAAGCCUAAAUACUCCCAGAUGACCGAUAGCGGACAAGUACCGUGAGGGAAAGGUGAAAAGUACCCCGGGAGGGGAGUGAAAUAGUACCUGAAACCGUUUGCUUACAAACCGUUGGAGCACCCCUGGUAGGUGUGACAGCGUGCCUUUUGAAGAAUGAGCCUGCGAGUUAGCGAUAUGUGGCGAGGUUAACCCGUGUGGGGUAGCCGUAGCGAAAGCGAGUCUGAAUAGGGCGAUUCAGUCGCAUGUCCUAGACCCGAAGCGAAGUGAUCUAUCCAUGGCCAGGUUGAAGCGACGGUAAGACGUCGUGGAGGACCGAACCCACUUAGGUUGAAAACUGAGGGGAUGAGCUGUGGAUAGGGGUGAAAGGCCAAUCAAACUUCGUGAUAGCUGGUUCUCUCCGAAAUGCAUUUAGGUGCAGCGUUGCGUGUUUCUUGCCGGAGGUAGAGCUACUGGAUGGCCGAUGGGCCCUACAAGGUUACUGACGUCAGCCAAACUCCGAAUGCCGGUAAGUGAGAGCGCAGCAGUGAGACUGUGGGGGAUAAGCUUCAUAGUCGAGAGGGAAACAACCCAGACCACCAACUAAGGUCCCAAAGCGCGUGCUAAGUGGGAAAGGAUGUGGAGUUGCUCUGACAACCAGGAGGUUGGCUUAGAAGCAGCCACCCUUGAAAGAGUGCGUAAUAGCUCACUGGUCAAGUGAUUCCGCGCCGACAAUGUAACGGGGCUCAAGCACGCCACCGAAGUUGUGGCAUUGACAUUAUUGGUAGGCCUUCGUGGUCCAGCCGUGUUGAUGGGUAGGAGAGCGUCGUGUGGCCAGCGAAGCGGCGGUGGAAACCAGCCGUGGAGGCUACACGAGUGAGAAUGCAGGCAUGAGUAGCGAAUGACGUGUGAGAAACACGUCCUCCGAAAGACCAAGGGUUCCAGGGUCAAGCUAAUCUUCCCUGGGUAAGUCGGGACCUAAGGCGAGGCCGACAGGCGUAGUCGAUGGACAACGGGUUGAUAUUCCCGUACCGGCGAAGAACCGCCCAAGCUAAUCCAGUGGUGCUAAACGUCCGAGCCUUCACAUCGUUGCCUUCGGGUGACACCGUGGAGGGGAGCACGUGACCCCAUGCUGGUGCGGUUAGCGUAUUAACAGGUGUGACGCAGGAAGGUAGUCCAAGCCAGGCGAUGGUUGUCCUGGUGCAAGUGCGUAGGCCGAGUCGUAGGCAAAUCCGCGACUCAUACAGGCUGAGACACGAUGCGGAUAAAAAGUGGAUGAUCCUAUGCUGCCGAGAAAAGCAUCGACGCGAGGUUCUAGCCGCCCGUACCCCAAACCGACUCAGGUGGUCAGGUAGAGAAUACCAA